rnacentral:rRNA from 1 species
UAUGCUUACACAUGCAAGUCGAACGGAACCUUCGGGUUUAGUGGCGGACGGGUGAGUAACGCGUGAGAAUCUGCCUCUAGGUCGGGGACAACAACUGGAAACGGUUGCUAAUACCCGAUGUGCAGCAAUGUGAAAGAUUUAUUGCCUAGAGAUGAGCUCGCGUCUGAUUAGCUAGUAGGUGUGGUAAUGGCGCACCUAGGCGACGAUCAGUAACUGGUCUGAGAGGAUGACCAGUCACACUGGGACUGAGACACGGCCCAGACUCCUACGGGAGGCAGCAGUGGGGAAUUUUCCGCAAUGGGCGAAAGCCUGACGGAGCAAUACCGCGUGAGGGACGAAGGCUUUUGGGUCGUAAACCUCUUUUCCCUGAGAAGAAGAUCUGACGGUAUCAGGGGAAUCAGCAUCGGCUAACUUCGUGCCAGCAGCCGCGGUAAUACGAGGGAUGCAAGCGUUAUCCGGAAUUAUUGGGCGUAAAGCGUCCGCAGGUGGCUCUGUAAGUCUGUCGUUAAAGAAUGGGGCUCAACCCCAUACAGGAGAUGGAAACUA